CAGGCCUACAACCUCUCCGCACGUUCCUUCUUCACCUAAGGCUGACAGGAGGAUCGACGUCAGCAACAUUACAAGCUUCUAUUUCAAGCCUUAUCCAUGCAUGCAAAACACGCGGUGAGGCAGAGGACCUCUUAGGUGACCCCUAGGAGAGGCUCACUAGGACCUAAUAAUCAGGCCUACUUGAUAGCAAACGAUAAGGCUUUCCACACCUAAGUUUUGUGUAUUCAGGUUUAUUUGUAAGAGACUAGCCACUUUGGUAUUCCUCUACUGGCUAUAAAGGGAAAACCAACGCUGCCGUCAAAGGGGAUUGAAGGGGAUCGAACCCAAAAGUUAGCUAAGGAAAACUAGCUCAUGUAACUCUCCGAUUCGACCAUAGAUCCAAGAAAAAGGCACCGUUGAACCGCUCCUUGGGAUAAACUCAAGUGGGGGUCCAUUGAUUCGCUGUUGUAGGGGCCCAUACUCCAACAGUUUGUAAGUGACUCAUAGACCAUCAUUUUUGCCAAGUUUCAUGCAAUUUGCCUGUGUGGUUUGAGAGAUCUUGGGUGAGAACCAAAGGAGAUAAAAUCUACUAUUUCUCCA